rnacentral:rRNA from 1 species
UACGUAGGGUGCAAGCGUUGUCCGGAAUUAUUGGGCGUAAAGAGCUCGUAGGCGGUUCGUCGCGUCGGCUGUGAAAACCCGGAGCUCAACUCCGGGCCUGCAGUCGAUACGGGCAAACUGGAGUGUUGCAGGGGAGACUGGAAUUCCUGGUGUAGCGGUGAAAUGCGCAGAUAUCAGGAGGAACACCGGUGGCGAAGGCGGGUCUCUGGGCAACAACUGACGCUGAGGAGCGAAAGCGUGGGGAGCGAACAGG